GGAGAGGUGUCCGAGUGGCUGAAGGAGCACGCUUGGAAAGCGUGUGUGGGGGAAACCUCACCGUGGGUUCGAAUCCCACCCUCUCCGCCA
rnacentral:tRNA from 3 species